ensembl:lncRNA
CUUUGAACAAGUCCCAGAUGUAGGAAUCUAGAGGUUUUCAAGCAGCCCUGAAGAAAUGAAUUCCAUAAGCACCUGGCACUACAUAAAGGCAUGGGCAUCUUUUAGUUAGUUGAUUUUCUAUGAUCAACAG